AAAAAAUCGGGGUGAAUCUGGUGGUUGGUUAAUCUCAAUCCCCGUAUUCCCGACUGCGUCCUGUAAUUGUGGGAGUGAAGAUUGGAGAAAGCACACCCCAGUUUCCCCACCAAUUCCGUUUUUUUUUUCUUUUUUCUUCCGAUUCCCCAUUUUCUAUUUCCUCUUCCUCUUCCCCUGAUUUCCCCAUUUUUAUUUGUUCCGGAGAAAUUAGUUUCCUAACAGAGAAACCCUAUCAGAGAAAGGGGUACAGUUUCAUGGUGGAUAUCGUUGGUUACUCAGUGGAGUCUUCUUGAUCGUAACUUCUUGUAACACGGUUAUUCUCACCUGGAUUCGAAGCAGGGGUUUAGAAUUAUCUUGAAGUUGCUAGUCAGAGUGCACAGAGAAGGGAUCUAAGGAAUCUUUCGUCCAUAUGAAAUUUGUGUAAACCUUUGCCGUAAAAUUUAGGUUAGGUAAUUUUGAAACUUUAUGGUAUUGAUCAGAAGAUUCAGAACUAUACUUGUUGAACUUCCCAUGGAGAUAAUUCUCAUGCUAGUAGUAGUAUUGCCUGUUUUGAAACUCAUAGAUCAACUCAUGAGUUUGAAAAUAAGUCACUUAUAUUUCAUAGCAUACUAUAGAUAAUGCUCCUGACUAAAAUAUGGGGAAAUAGUUUUUAAUAUAUUGGAUAUAGAUUUUUUCGUCUAUACUUUCAUGACUGGUACGGUCUUAAUUUUUAUCCCUAAAAGAACAUACAUGACAGACAGUAGCAUUCUACAACUAUCGAAAAACGAACUAUAUUAACAAUCCUUCAGCUCAUAAUUUUCUAUUUUGUAACAUGUACACGAAGGAACACAGGCUUGUAAAAUCACCAAAGUUGCAGGAGAACCAAGUAAAAUAAUGAGCACAGAGAGGACAAAAUAUUAUUAGCAUUUUCGGGAUUGGAGCAGGCUUUGACCAGCAAUCUUGGAUACAGGCCAUGAAACUGGUGCUCUUUUGAAUACUCGCAUUGAGAUGGAUUAUGGUCCUUCCUUCGAUAUAGUAUCAGAACUAGCACUCGACAGUUGUUACUAUUAAUUUUCAAAGGCAGUUGGUGGUUGACACAUCUUGCUUGAUUCUACUCUUAGUACUUCAGGGAAUAGCCUAAAUAAGCCUAUCCCUGUUCUUUGCAGAGCAUAAGCAUAUGAAGCUCACUGGUACAUUUUUGUUUAAUAGUUUUAGAACUAUUUGGUCGAUCUACAGAAGAAAAAAUUCCUUCAAAUUUUAUAGGAAAAUAAGCUACAGAUCUAGCAGUUCAACAUUAUUUCUCAGAAAAUGUAAGAGUUACUGAAGAAGACGAAGACAACUAGCCCAGCUUGGCAGUGCAACUGGUGUUUAUAAGACGCUUGUGAAGUACCUAGUUGGAGUGCCACAGGCUCACAGGUGGCAGAAGUAAAGAGUUUACGAUCUUUUGAUGUCUUCCACAUCUCACCAGCAACAAACUUGAAUUCAAACUAGAGUUUUUGGAUAUCUUACUAAUUCAAGUACUUUCAGCAUUUUAUAGAGAUAUUUUCAUCUAUUUCUUGUUUGUUUGUGCUAAUAGUAUAUUGUACGUAUUUAUGGAAUAUUGAGGAACUGGAAGGCUCUUAAAUUGCACUCAAAAUCUAUUUACUUUGUAAUUUCAGACGGGAAAUUUCACUUUA